CGCGGCCUAUCAGCUUGUUGGCGGGGUAACGGCCCACCAAGGCAACGACGGGUAGCUGGUUUGAGAGAACGAUCAGCCACACUGGAACUGAGACACGGCCCAGACUCCUACGGGAGGCAGCAGUGGGGAAUAUUGCGCAAUGGGCGAAAGCCUGACGCAGCAACGCCGCGUGGGGGAUGACGGCCUUCGGGUUGUAAACCCCUUUCAGCAGGGACGAAAAUGACGGUACCUGCAGAAGAAGCCCCGGCCAACUACGUGCCAGCAGCCGCGGUAACACGUAGGGGGCAAGCGUUGUCCGGAUUUAUUGGGCGUAAAGAGCUCGUAGGCGGUUCAGUAAGUUGGGUGUGAAAGCUCCGGGCUCAACCCGGAGAGGCCACUCAAUACUGCUGUGACUAGAGUCCAGUAGAGGAGCGUGGAACUCCUGGUGCAGCGGUGAAAUGCGCAGAUAUCAGGAAGAACACCGGCAGCGAAGGCGGCGCUCUGGGCUGGUACUGACGCUGAGGAGCGAAAGCAUGGGUAGCAAACAGGAUUAGAUACCCUGGUAGUCCAUGCCGUAAACGUUGGGCACUAGGUGUGGGGAGGAGUCAACCCUUUCCGUGCCGUAGCAAACGCAUUAAGUGCCCCGCCUGGGGAGUACGG
rnacentral:rRNA from 1 species